GUAGGCAUUGCUUCACUAACCAAUGAAUCUGUAUUGAAUCCAGGUUGAACAGAUUGCACUGGCAAGCUAGGCAAUGUGUUAGUGGUCAUUGCUUCACUUUCCAGUGUAUCUUUGUUUGCUUUAGGAAUCCAUUCCUGCCUUGAUUUCUUAACUCGAGGACUUUUCCUAAGCUCAUUACUUUGCUCUUGCAACUCCUAUUCCCCUUCAUUAUGGCCAUUAUACCAAUAGUCAAGAGAGUUGUGACCAAACUUCAAGCAGUGAUUACAGAAUACAGGUUACAUUAUGGCCAUUAUACCAACAGUCAAGAGAGUUGUGACCAAAUUUCAAGCAGUGAUUACAGAAUACAGGUUUCCAGUCAUACUCAAUCCCUUGAAUCUUCAUCCCANNNN
rnacentral:lncRNA from 1 species